rnacentral:rRNA from 1 species
UACGAAGGGGACUAGCGUUGUUCGGAAUUACUGGGCGUAAAGCGCACGUAGGCGGAUUUGUUAGUCAGGGGUGAAAUCCCGGGGCUCAACCUCGGAACUGCCUUUGAUACUGCAAAUCUCGAGUCCGAUAGAGGUGGGUGGAAUUCCUAGUGUAGAGGUGAAAUGCGCAGAUAUCAGGAAGAACACCCGUGGCGAAGGCGGUUCUCUGGGACGGUACUGACGCUGAGACGCGAAAGCGUGGGGAGCGAACAGG